GAUGAAGAACGUAGCGAAAUGCGAUAAGUAGUGUGAAUUGCAGAAUUCAGUGAAUCAUCGAAUCUUUGAACGCACAUUGCGCCCCUUGGUAUUCCAUGGGGCAUGCCUGUUCGAGCGUCAUUUGUACCCUCAAGCUUUGCUUGGUGUUGGGCGUCUUGUCGUAUUACGACUCGCGUUAAAUACAUUGGCAGCCGGCACUUUGGCCUAGGAGCGCAGCACAUUUUGCGAUCGUAGCCCGUUGUACUGGCGUCCAUCAAGAACAUUUACCACGUUUGACCUCGGAUCAGGUAGGGAUACCCGCUGAACUUAAGCAUAUCAAUAAGCGGAGGA
rnacentral:misc_RNA from 1 species